rnacentral:rRNA from 1 species
UAGGUGGCAAGCGUUGUCCGGAUUUAUUGGGCGUAAAGGGAGCGCAGGCGGUGACUUAAGUCUGAUGUGAAAGCCCACGGCUCAACCGUGGAAGGUCAUUGGAAACUGGGUCACUUGAGUGCAGAAGAGGAAAGUGGAAUUCCAUGUGUAGCGGUGAAAUGCGUAGAUAUAUGGAGGAACACCAGUGGCGAAGGCGACUUUCUGGUCUGUAACUGACGCUGAGGCUCGAAAGCGUGGGGAGCAAA